rnacentral:rRNA from 1 species
AUUGAACGCUGGCGGCAGGCCUAACACAUGCAAGUCGAGCGGAUGAAGGGAGCUUGCUCCUGGAUUCAGCGGCGGACGGGUGAGUAAUGCCUAGGAAUCUGCCUGGUAGUGGGGGAUAACGUCCGGAAACGGGCGCUAAUACCGCAUACGUCCUGAGGGAGAAAGUGGGGGAUCUUCGGACCUCACGCUAUCAGAUGAGCCUAGGUCGGAUUAGCUAGUUGGUGGGGUAAAGGCCUACCAAGGCGACGAUCCGUAACUGGUCUGAGAGGAUGAUCAGUCACACUGGAACUGAGACACGGUCCAGACUCCUACGGGAGGCAGCAGUGGGGAAUAUUGGACAAUGGGCGAAAGCCUGAUCCAGCCAUGCCGCGUGUGUGAAGAAGGUCUUCGGAUUGUAAAGCACUUUAAGUUGGGAGGAAGGGCAGUAAGUUAAGACCUUGCUGUUUUGACGUUACCAACAGAAUAAGCACCGGAUAACUUCGUG